CGAGACGACGCUGGCGGCGUGGAUUAGGCAUGCAAGUCGGACGGUAGGGCUUUAUCGUAAGAUAGAGUUUGAGAGUGGCGAACGGGUGAGUAACACGUAGGAAUCUACCCUUAAGACGGGGACAACCCAGGGAAACUUGGGCUAAUACCGGAUGAGAGUGCGAGAGAUUGCAAUUUAAAAGGAUGGACGAAAGUUGUCGCUUAGGGAUGAGCCUGCGGUCUAUUAGUUAGUUGGUGAGGUAAGAGCUCACCAAGGCGAUGAUAGAUAGGCGGCCUUAACGGGUGGUCGCCCACACUGGGAUUGAGAUACGGCCCAAACUCCUACGGGAGGCAGCAGUGAGGGAUAUUGCACAAUGGGCGAAAGCCUGAUGCAGCAACGCCGCGUGAGGGAUGACGGUCUUCGGAUUGUAAACCUCUGUCCUCAGUGAAGAAGAAAGUGACGGUAGCUGAGGAGGAAGCCACGGCUAACUACGUG
rnacentral:rRNA from 1 species